UCAAAGAGUCAGGUUGUUUGGGAAUGCAGCCUAAAUUGGGUGGUAAAUCUCACCUAAAGCUAAAUAUUUGCGAGAGACCGAUAGCGAACAAGUACCGUGAGGGAAAGAUGAAAAGAACUUUGAAAAGAGAGUUAACAGUAUGUGAAAUUGUUAAAAGGGAACCGUUUGGAGCCAGACUGGUUUGACUGUAUCAACCUAGAAUUCGUUUUGGGUGCACUUGCAGUCUAACCUGCCACAACAGUUUGAUUUGGAGGACAAAUUAAUAGGGAUGAGCCUCUCGAGGUGUAUAGCCUAUUACAUACUCUGGAUUGGACUGAGGAACCAACCAAUGCUUUAGGCAAAAUUGCUGGGGCUUUCCUAAAAAAGGUAAAAUUCUGGCUCCGGGGGGGGUAAUGUUUUAAGGGGAACCACCCCCGUAAUUUUUUAUUCCCUAAGGUGGUUGGCUAAAGACCCAAAAGACCCCCUUGAAACCGGACA
rnacentral:rRNA from 1 species